UACGAAGGGGGCUAGCGUUGCUCGGAAUCACUGGGCGGAAAGGGCGCGUAGGCGGCCAUUCAAGUCAGGGGUGAAAGCCUGUGGCUCAACCACAGAAUUGCCUUUGAUACUGUUUGGCUAGAGACCGGAAGAGGUAAGUGGAACUGCGAGUGUAGAGGUGAAAUUCGUAGAUAUUCGCAAGAACACCAGUGGCGAAGGCGGCUUACUGGUCCGGUUCUGACGCUGAGGCGCGAAAGCGUGGGGAGCAAACAGG
rnacentral:rRNA from 1 species